UGUGGUCACACCCUGUGCAGGAAUCAGUCCCAGGAAGGACGGAGCAUGGACAUGAGGGUCCCGACUCAGCUCCUCAGCCUCCUGCUGCUGUGGCUCCCAGGAGCCAGAUGUGAUAUCCAGAUGACCCAGUCUCCAUCCUCUCUGUCUGCAUCAGUGGGAGACAGAGUCACCAUCACUUGCCGGGCCAGUCAGAGCAUUAGCAAUUACUUAGCUUGGUAUCAGCAGAAAUCAGGGGCAGCUCCUAAGCUGCUGAUCUAUGAUGCAUCCAAUUUGCAAACUGGUGUCCCUUCAAGGUUCAGUGGCCAAGGAUCUGGGACAGAUUUCACUCUUACCAUCAGCAGCUUGCAGCCUGAAGAUUUUGCAACUUAUUACUGUCAACAGCGUAACAGCUGGCCUCUCACAGUGUUAUAAGCCUGAACACAAACCACGAAGCAGACAGCUGAGAGUCGGCUGCCCCAGUUAUUCCUCUUGCGUCUCCAUCGGCUGAGAGCAUUUCUCAGAUGCACCCACUCUUUGAUGGUGACUGGAGGUUUUGGUAGAAGUGGCCAGGGAUGGUUCUCUGCACCCUAACUCUCUUUGACUCUACUCAGCCUCGAUUCACAUACAAUGCAUCUCCUAAUUUCAUAAGGAACAGAGAUCAUCACACCUGAGCUUUCUGGGUUACAGUAUCAGUCAGAAUUCAUAAAGUAAAAGAAAACCACUCUGGGAAUUCCAAACAGAAAUUGCUUAGUAUAUAGAAUGACUUACUAAAGUACAUUGUUUCAAAGGCCUAGGGAAGUAACAACAAAGGAAGCAAAGAGUGGCAAUGUGGGAUUCCCUGGUGAUUCCCCAGAGACCAGAGAAAAUACCCUGUUGGAGACAGAGGCUGUCUACCAUGUGGUCCCCAGACCUGUGGGGGAAGCCCAGGAGUGAUGCUCUCAGCUCACCAGUGAUUCUCCAGUCCUCCACUCUGCCUGCAGAAAAUGAUGGAGAGUAUUGAACUCUUGUCCUUGGACUCCCAAAUGUCAGGGAGGGCCCCUCACUGAGCAAUUAUAUGCUAAACCAUAGAGGGCAAAGGGGUUCUGAGAUGUGUGCUUCCACUUGGGAGCGCGAUGAUGGGGAACUGACAGCAGACAGGCUAGGUGGUCAUUCUCUUUACAUCUCUCAAAAUUUUGCCAGUUACAAUAAACUUGGAUGUGCUUCCAACCAUCAUCAUCAAGCCUG